UAAGCGCCUGGUAACCUUCCACUUCUUCUUUCCCUAAUUUAGAUCAUGUCAUUCCUCUGCUAAAAUCUCCAUCAUGGCUUCCUAUCUGGCCCAGAAUAAAGCCCAAAUCCUUGCCAGAGGCUGCAGGCCCCACCGACUACUCCCCUGGCCUCCAUUCCUCUGCACCCCUUCUCUCCUCAUUCUGCAGGGGCUCAGCCUACUUGCUGUGCUUGUGUGGAGACAAACGUGACUGCAUCUUGGAUGCUAAUCCACCAUGUUGACUUCUGAUUCACCCCAGUCCCUGAAGUCCUCCUGAUUCCUACUUUAUUUACUGUCCUUAGUGUAAGAACAUGUACUCGCUACAAAUCCUGCCUUGAGAUCAAAGCAACCAUAAUACUAUCACACCAAGUACAGGCUAUGACGCACAUAGCAGUCUUGCCUGUUCUGGACAGUGGUCUUUCAUUGACUCUUUGGAGUAUGUACCCUCUUUCCCUCUAGUAUAUAAUCUCUGGAUCUGAGGGUAACCAUGAGAAAUCCCUUUGUCUUGCAGCUGCCCAAGACCAUGCUUCUGUCUGUGAGUUCCCCAAUAAACCACCCUUUACCGACAAACUGAAUUUGUCUUCCUUGUUCUUCGGUUUCUCAGCUCCUUUGGCAUUUGAGGGCCUUUUUGCAUAUAGGGCCCUUUCACGGAACAGCCUGGGAUGUGCCAGAGACACAUCUGUCUCAGAGCCCGUGCAUAUGCUCUUCCCUAAGCAUGGAACACUUUCUAUUUACACAGCCCUCUCCUUGUGUCAUUGCGUCCAGUGUCUCUUUCUUAGAGAGGCCCUCUCCCUUGCUGUCUCUUGUCCCUCUUUCUUUUUCUUCAUAGUAUGUAGCAUUACUUGACAUCAUAAUAUUUCGAUUCAAUUCAACAAAUAUUUUUUGUUCACACAUUUGUCCUUGUCCACACUAGAUUGUAGGCUCCAGGAGAGCACAGACAUUGUAUAUUUCAUUCACUCCUGGAUCCCCAGCCCUUAGAACAGUGCUUGGUGCUUAAUAGAUGGCUCAAGAUCUAUUUGUUGAAUGCAUGGAUGUAUGAGUGAAUGAAUGAAUGCUCAGGAUCUUUCAGUAAAUCCGUGGCUGACUCAUGCCCAGAGUUCAGGUCUUCUAUGUUCCUUUCAUUGAUAGCUGCAUUGCCUUCCAGGAUUUCCCAUCUUUCAGAUUUCCAGAAAUUAUGUAUACAUAUAUACUGUGCCCUCUCAGCUGAUGGCUUCCUUUUCCUUUCUUCACAGCUCUCUGGCAUCAAUUUUUCCACUUCUCAGAAACACUUUGGCCCACAAAUUCCCAAAGGAACCUUGUUCUUCAUUCUGGAAAACACGAUGCCAACAUAUCAGAAUAAAGGACAGAUAGGAGCUUUUGCUUCAAAGUGAAUCACUUCAUGGAUGUUAAAGUGUCCUGAAAGAUUCUAAACUUCACAACUUUUGAUAGUAACUGUAUAAGAACUGCUGAUGAGGACAUCUAUAGAAGUAGAAAAUUCUAAAUGUCCUACCAUCACCAAUAAGAAACUUUUGACAGUCCCGUAGAUACAAUAUAAUCACAUGGAAAACUGUAUACAGUAUAUUGUAUGUGAAGAUCCCACAAAAAGAAUAGGGACUGUAGGAAAUAUAAUCAUCUAAGCUACGGGUAAGAAGAACAUCAAGAUUCUUUAAAGCAAUGGCUCUCAAAGUGUGUUUCCUAGACCAGCAGCAUCAGCACCACAUGAAAGCUUAGGAAUGCAAACUCUCCAGCCCCGCCUCGGGCCUACUGGCUCAGCGACUGUGAGGGAGAGGAGUAGAAAAGUACCCCAUUGCAGUAGAGAUAAGUGGAUCUGAAACCCCAACAGCAGCUGAAGAGGUUCUUUAUGACAGCUGGAACCUGCACUCCAGUUGCCCUUGCACGUUUGUGGUUUAGCAGUCCCAGAGACAAAUCUGCCACUUCUGGCUUGCAUCCAACAAAAGUGCAGCUGUUCAUCAUUAGGAGAUGUUGGCUGAUGUACAUAGACAUGUAAGAAAGAUUCAAAGCGUCAUGGAUGGAUCACCAAUAACACCAGCAUAUGCAAGACCAGAGGAGAGUGUGUGAUCCAGGUCCUAGGAUUGACAAAUGAGGACUCAGUCCCUACUUGGGUUGGUGUUUUAUUUUGACUUUUUUCUGAAACAGCAGAGAAGCUUACCAAAUAAUCACAAGGAGAUAAGAAAGUGUUUACAUUUGUUUCAGUUGCUCUUCACUGCCUCCUUAUGACCAACACUCACAAUUCUAUGGUCUUAGCAGUUGCACUAAGAAGUCAGAAGAACCUGCUAUUGUGGGUUCAUAAUCUUUUAUUACCUUUCACUGAGAAACAAUUUAUACUACUAAACAAGAUAUCAGUUAUGAUGCUCAAGAUUUUAAGUGCCUUUUGAACUAAAAACAAACAAAAAAAUUGUGACCUGCAUAUAAUGUAAAUGGUUUAUCUUCAAGUCAAAAGCCACAGGUUUACCUCUGCAGCUUUACUCUUUCCUAAACAUUGCUUUCGUGUAUUGCUUAUGCAUGCUUUCUGCGUCCCAAAAAGUAUGUAGAGAAUAACAGUUUAAGUCCUCCAGAGGAGUUACUACCUCUACUACAUGUUUCAUUCUCAUUACAUGUUGCAUUGCUUAUUAAUAUCUGUGUUUUGUAGUGGACUUCAUGAGGACAGGUAAUGUUACCAACUGAAUUGUGUACCCCCAAAAUUCACAUGUUGAAACCCUAAUCCCCAAUGUGACUGUAUUUGAAGUAGGGCCUACAGCAGGUAAUUAAGGUUAAAUGAGGUCAUAAGUGUGGGGCCCUGAAUCGAUGAGAUUAGUGUCCUUAUAAGAAGAAACAGCAGAGACCUUGUUCUCUCCACCAUAUGAGGACACAGUGAGAAUGUAGCCAUCUGUGAGCAGGAAGGGAGGCCUCACCAGGAUCCAAAUGAGCCAGAACCUUAAUCUUGGACUUCUCACCCUGCAGAACUGUGAGAAAAUAAAUUUCUGUUGUUUAAGCCACAUAAUUUGUGGUAUUUUGUUAUGGCGGCCUGAGCAGACUAAUACAGAUACCAUGUCUAUCUUGUUCAUUAUCCUAUCUUCUGUGUUAUAGUUUAUCAAAUAUAUGUUUAGUAAGAUGCAUCCUAGUUAGAAGGCAUUGAACUUGGGCUUAAAUAACUGCUGCAUCGUGUUACAUUUCCAGGAUUUUUUCUCUCUUUCAUGAACUCUGUGAAGAAAUUUUACUUAGAAAAAACUGACACUGUCAUUGGCAUUACAAGAGGUGCUCUACAGGACUUGUGUGACCCACAGUAAUCCUGCAAAAAAGCCAUGUCAUCCACUCAUGGACAGAUUUAAGCUUAAAAUUCUUCCAGAGUUUGCAAUGGGAUAUCUCCCUUUAUCUUCUCUGUGGUACAGAGACAGUUUUCUGUUAAUUUCCACAUAAGGGCUUUCCAUGAACAUGGUAAACAAAAAAGGGAGAAAGCAACAAGUUAUAGCACUCUGAGUAGGUAGGUUUCAUGAGAGCAGAGAGGUGAUCAGGAAGGCAGAGAUGUGAACAGACCAGAUGUCUUGGGGGCUCAAGACCAGUAUACAUGGUGUGGGAACAAAUAUUAAGUCUUUUAUUUUUAUUUUUCAAAUAUUUUUUUAAAGGAUUUAAGCCAGGCACAGUGGUUCAUGCCUGUAAUCUCAGCUACUUCAAGAGGCUGAGGUGGGGCCGGGAGCGG
rnacentral:lncRNA from 1 species